UGACGUGGAUGCUAGUUCCUGAGGUUAAGCCAUGCAUGCCCAUGAAGCGACACGGUUGCGGAUUGGCGGACGGCUCAGUAAGACUGCGAUGAUUUGAUCGAUUGCGAGCCGUAACUACGGGAAACUGUAGGUAGGGGGGGUAGGAUACUGCGCGGCGGUAUGUGUGUCGAGUAAGUUGCAGGCCCAUCAACUGGUAGGUAGGGUAAUGGCCUAACUAGGUUGCGACGGGAGACGGGGGAUCGGGGUUUGAUUCCGGAGAGGGAGCCUGAGAGACGGCUACUACGUCCAAGGAUGGCAGCAGGCGCGAAACUUGCCCAAUCCUUUGGUUGGGAGGCAGUUAUGGGACGUGAGGAAUGGCGAUUUGCAAAGAGAAUUGCCGGUAUCGGAGGGCAAGUCGGGUGCCAGCAGCCGCGGUAAUACCUGCUCCGAUAGUGUCUAUGGUGAAUGCUGCAGUUAAAAAGUCCGUAGUCGAGAUGUGCAGUAUGUCUGGGGGGCCUGUGUUUGUUGCGGGCUGUGGACGUAUGUGGGUUUGACGCAGCGGACGGGGCGCACUGGAUAGUUGGGCGAGAGGUGAAAUGUGAGGACCCUGACUGGACGGACGGAGGCGAAGGCGGUGCGCUUGGACGAGUGUGUGGAUCAAGGACGAAGGCUGGAGGAUCGAAAUCGAU
rnacentral:rRNA from 1 species